GACGAACGCUGGCGGCGUGCCUAACACAUGCAAGUCGAGCGGACGAAGGGAACUUGGCUCCGCGAUGUUAGGGGCGGGCGGGUGAGUAACACGUGGGUAACCUGGCUGUUAGAGUGGGAUAACUUCAGGAAAGCGGUGCUAAUACAGGAGAAUGGUGGGGAACUCAGGGUGGACAUCGGAAAGAUGGUUUCGGGUUGAACCUACGUAUGGUCCGGCGGCGGAUUAGCUAGUUGGUGAGGUAACGGCUCACCAAGGCAACGAUGCGUAGCCGACCUGAGAGGGUGAUCGGUCACACUGGAACUGAGACACGGUCCAGACUCCUACGGGAGGCAGCAGUAGGGAAUCUUCUGCAAUGGACGAAAGCCUGACGGAGCCACGCCGCGUGAGUGAUGAAGGUUUUCGGAUCGUAAAGCUCUGUUGUUUGGGAAGAACAACUGCCGGUGUAACCGUCGCUACCUUGACGUUACCUACACAGAAAGCACCGGCUAACUACGUG
rnacentral:rRNA from 1 species